AAAAGAGGCAUGACAGCAAUGAAUAACUGCUAAUUAAUCACUUCCUUGGUUAAAAUCCAAGGCUCUUUUG
rnacentral:tRNA from 1 species